rnacentral:rRNA from 1 species
UGGGGAAUUUUGGACAAUGGGGGAAACCCUGAUCCAGCCAUCCCGCGUGUGCGAUGAAGGCCUUCGGGUUGUAAAGCACUUUUGGCAGGAAAGAAACGUCGCGGGUUAAUACCCCGCGAAACUGACGGUACCUGCAGAAUAAGCACCGGCUAACUACGUGCCAGCAGCCGCGGUAAUACGUAGGGUGCAAGCGUUAAUCGGAAUUACUGGGCGUAAAGCGUGCGCAGGCGGUUCGGAAAGAAAGAUGUGAAAUCCCAGAGCUUAACUUUGGAACUGCAUUUUUAACUACCGGGCUAGAGUGUGUCAGAGGGAGGUGGAAUUCCGCGUGUAGCAGUGAAAUGCGUAGAUAUGCGGAGGAACACCGAUGGCGAAGGCAGCCUCCUGGGAUAACACUGACGCUCAUGCACGAAAGCGUGGGGAGCAAACAGGAUUAGAUACCCUGGUAGUCCACGCCCUAAACGAUGUCAACUAGCUGUUGGGGCCUUCGGGCCUUGAUAGCGCAGCUAACGCGUGAAGUUGACCGCCUGGGGAGUACGGUCGCAAGAUUAAAACUCAAAUGAAUUGACGGGGUCAUAGCUG